CUUAAAUAUUUGUGGUAUCAUAAAUACGCUCUUCUAGUGUGUGCACUAAUAGGUCUCUGGAAUACAUCUGGUGUUGGUGGCUCCGGACCCUAAGGCUUGGAGCAAGCACUCAUUCAUCAACAGAGAGCCUCCACGUGCCAACUGACAGCAUCCACAGCGAGUAGAGAAAAACAGCAUGACUGAACACUGCAGCCCAAUGGCUCACCCAGCACCCUGCCUGCUGCAAAGGAUGUGCUGAGGCAAGAGGCAACUCAGAGACACCAAAAAACUUAGGUAAAAAAAUACACACACACACACACACACUACUAUGACAAUAACCCACCUCACCUCAGCUGAGGACAGUUUAAUGCAAAAGAACAGUUGCUCAAAUACUUUUUGAGGGGAUAUCAUUCGAGUUCUGGGAAAUAGCUGCCUUUCCAUCUUACUAGGCCUAGGAUAGCUGUUGGUUCAAUUCAGAGGCUGAGAUCAGAGAGCUUUCAUUCAUGAGUGCUGUGCCAUGGAGAGAAUCCUCCAGAUAGUACACUUCAAUAUCCUUGUUCUGCUUCGAGCAUACAAAAGAAUUCACAAGAAUUACCUUAGUAUGAACUUCUAUCUCACUGGUGAUCUAACUGCUGUGACCUUGUUGCUGAACACUACUCUUACUGCAUGCAACCUACUUCUUUCCUGGGAGCCUGCUGUCAGCCAUGGUUUUCAACUUCCCAAUUAGCAAAUUUAGACUUAUUUUUUUUUUUCCCCUCUGAUGCCAUCUAAAAUAACCCCUGAUUAAAAGGAAUCACAUUCUGGUAUUGAUUAUCCACGCAGCUUGCAACUAGCAUUACAAUUUUGUUUUGUUGUUUUCACUGUAUGCCUGACCUCUACAUUUGGAGGCUCACAACACUUCAUACUUGACCUCCAUUAUGUUUCUGGUUUCUUAUUCUGUUAAUGUGACCAACAGUGGUUUGUAACACAUACACACAAGAGUCCCCCAUACACAGUCCUUGCUAGGUGACAGAAGGACAAAGCUCUUUGGCCUGAUGUGAUACAGUAACAUGCAUGAGUUGACUUCAUUUUUUGGCCUGGGUUGGUCAAGUGUUACACCAUGUUGAGAAAGACUUUGUACCAUUAGUGGCUUAUUUGCUGCUGGAAAAUCCACAUCUGCUGACAGGAAUAUGAGUGCCAUGGAUUGGUCUGUAAGUUGGUAUUAAGCUUCAGUGGUAAAGGGCAGGAUAUUCUUCCUCCUCUCCCAGUCUGUGAGCGAUGUUGCUGAUCCACAUCCAUUAAUGUUUCUGCUACCAUCCUCCAGCAGUGUGGGAAAACAAAAAACAGACUCUUCAUGUCAACAAGAAAUCUGGAAAAAACACAAAAACAGGGUUUCAUAAUCAAAUAAAUGUUUCUGUCCUUAUACAGCAUAAAGCUGCAGCAAAGAAAAUGAAAUAUAUUCAUGAUUCCCCUGCAGUAAACAUACUUGCAGUCUGAAAAACAGUAUCAAGUACACAGGGAUCAUCUACAUGUCACUGUAACUGCACACUGCAAUUGAGAAGCAAACAGCUUUUAGAAGACACUGAGAAAAACUCUAAUUUUAGGCACAGAGAGCAUGUGUUCACACUGCUGCAUGAUGGAUGCAUAAUAGUGUGCUCCAGACAACCAACCUUAAAAUAUCUGAGACCUUAUUGUGUUAUUGGUGUUUAUAGUUUGUACUGCAGUCAAGCCUAAAAGCCCUAGGGCCUCAAUUGUGCUGUGGAUGGCAUAAACAGAGCAGAAAGACAGUCCUUGUCCCAUCGAUACUGCAAACUAAAUGAAACCUUGUCCAUCACCUUCUCUCCAGCCUUACAGCUCUUUCUACCUUAGAUCUUCAGCACAUAACCUCUCCCAGGUAGGAAUAAUGUGCUUCUAGCAUGUCUGGAUGGCACUGGUUUUUGAGUGGUUGUUGAAUAAACAAAAUGCACUGAGAAGAGCUGUUUGUCUUCUUUUUGAGAAUGGGAUCCAGUGUUUUUUGGGGGAUAUUUACACUACGAUUGUUUUUUGGAACCCACAGAAAUAUAAAUCGUAAUAACUCACAAAUUUUCCGUGCUGUUGUGUAAUUCCAUUGUAAUUCUCUGGAAUUCUAUUGAAAUUCUUCUCACAGAUGCCUCUGUCCUUUGCUGGAUCUGGCCAAGAAUUGAAUGUGGGAUGAUGAGGAGCCUUAAUAUGACAGAUGAACAUGUCCAUCAACACUAUUGUGAUUCUAAGUAGUCAGAUUCUUUUUCAGUUCCUUUCUCAGAGGCUGUGGCACUGAAUGAACCAACACUGAAGUCAAGCACAGCAGAAAAUUUACUUGCUUCUGCUUCUAUCUGACCAGCAAAAUAACAUUUUCUCAUUAAUUUCCUGCUGUUAUUUUUAAGAAAUUAAAGGUUAGGUAAGAAUCUUAGUGCUAUGGAUUAGUUAGGCUUCUAAAUUUUUCUUUUCUCAGACAGAACCAGCUGAAAACUAGUUGAUAUUAGGUGUUUUUUAGAACACAUUUUGGACUAAAACUGUCUCUACCUUUUUUCACAACUCUCAGAGCACUCUGGGGCUCUCUUAGCAAGUGAUGUGACAUGCCCACCUUUCCCAGCCUUCCAGGAGCCUGCCCACUUCUGCUUUUCCUCUUGGUCUCCUUCCAGCUGCUCACUGAGCCUCUUGCCAGACUCACCUGCAAGAAAGCUUCUUCCAGGUGGAAUCUCACAUUAUUACCAUUUCCUGCAGGCCUCAGAUCCACCUUGAAUGUGAGCAUCCCAACAUGAGAAUCGUGGCUGAUUCUGGUCCCAUGCACUCUUCAAAGAUGCAGCCAUCCCAGACAUGACAGGAGGAGCCUGGGCUUGCAGAUGGGACAAACAGUGCAGGAGCCUGCUGAUGCACAACUUCUGUUUCUUCAUUACCCCAGAGUCAUGCUGAAGGAGACUGUUGAGGUCUAUGAGCCUUCCUGGACCAACUCAAUGCCAUCAUCUCUCAUCCCAAGGGAUGUUACAGCAAAAAGCCACUGGUGCCUGCAUGGUGCAGAUGUUCUGAGUUUGGUAAUUACUCACCAAGAAGAUUAAAGAUCAGGUGGUCACCUCAGUUGCAUCUACUUUAUCACAGCCCUGAGGGCUCUCCCCAAGUCUCAGGAGCAGAGAGAUGCAGUUGGUGUCCUGCAGAUCCAGCUGUCAGUUCCCAGCUUGCAGCAUUGGUGUUCUGAGGCAGGCAGAGACUACAGGAAGGCUAAUUCUCCAUUAAAGAUAUGGUCCUGGGAUGUCUUACUAAGAACCUAAAAAAAAAAUAUCCUGCCUUGAGUGUCCUCUUUCUAAAUCUAACCCAAAGCUUACACUGGUCACCAACUGUGAACUGGAUGCACAUCUGUUCCUCUGGAUUAGCUACAGCCUCCCCCCACCCUAUGUCAGACCUCACAGACCAGCCAGCCCCAUGCCUCCAGCCCAGUCUAUGGGUCCAAACUCAGCUACUAGUGCUGCUCUUAUUUGUGCUGGGCUUAUGCCCCUGCCCACUUAUUUAUUGAAGCAGCCAACGAGUUGCUCAAACCCACAAGAGAUGGCUCUAUUUCUCUACCCAGCCCCAUCAUGAUCAAUUGUUCCCACCACUUUGCCGUUUCUGCAGAACGUGUGCCAGUUUUAUUUCCAAGAAUGCAACAACACGAACGUUUUUCAAUUACUCAGAUAGAUUUUUAGCUUGUCAUCGUCUGCCAUUCACUUGAAUUGUGCACCCUCGCCCUACCUCAGCUCACUGGUGUGCUGACACGGGCUGUGCGAGGUUGCUCCCCAUUGCAGCACUAAGGAGCAGGAUGCUGUUGCCCUGCCACGUGUGGCGACGCCGUGCUCCUCUGCAUCUGGUUUCUAAACAAACCCCCUACAACAGACCAAUCUGUUAAACCUUUGAGAGCCUCAUUUCCAGGUUUCAACAACAUUCUCUUCAGAAAUGAGCACUUCAUGGAGUUCAUUUAAGGUUGUCGAAGCCACAAGUUGCUGUCAGCGCUAUUUACCACUUCAGUGGCUCAGCUAAGGCCUCAGCUGCUGCAAGCCAGCUCAGUGCUAAUAGCUGAGCCUUCCUGAUUUACAUCAACCUCUGCCAAGCUGACAGCCAUCCUCCACUGCCUCCCAGUAGCUGUCUGUGUACACAUUUGUUACAGACAGCACAAAAGCAGAUUUCCUCCUGCCACCCCUGUCCAGGCCCUGUGUUUAUACUGGAGCAACCAAGCACGGUGGAUGCCCCAUGCUAUGCAGUCAGCUGGGCCCUGCAGCCUGCUCUGUGCAUGCGGUACCUGGGGCUGCCUUUCAGGAUCAAGUCUGGGAUAUUUCCUCCUCAGUCUUGCUUCCUUUAUGGGCUCUUAUCCCUUACCUCACUGCAAGCCCUCACCUCCUUUGUUUGGUAACUGGACAGAGGGAACAGAACUCCCUUGUCCCAAACAUCACUUUGUAAUUCUCUGCACUUUUCCCAGGCAGAGCAACUCAGCUCAUCUACAGUCAAAAGGCUUUUUACCUAUUUUUAAUGCCAUUCCUACCCCUGCUCCUUUCUGACUCCCCAAAACAUGGCUCUCACAGACCCAAGCCUAAAUGCCCCAAACCUUCUCAAACCCCUUCCAGUUAUACAUAAAAACUACUGACAUCUUUGAUUUCACACCCUCUAUCUCAUUCCACACUUCUGCAACACUCAGUGUAAGCUCCAGAGCCUAUAGAAAACAAACCACCAGCUCCCCCAGCCAAAGGCCCCAAUGGCAUCUGGUCCAUCUGUUCCAUGGCAAACUGGCAGCACAACAAUAACUUCCAGUAAGCUGAGGAGCGGAUGGUUUUAGUGAGUAAAACCACUGCGCCUUCUGUCUUUUAUUUCAAUAGUAAAUUUAAUUUUAUUAUCUUUCCCCCAGUUUGCCACAGGAUUGUGCUGAGGGCCCUCACAACUGAGUUGCAACAUGGGAGGUUUAUCAGCCUUGGAAGUGGGAGGGUCUAAAACACAGUUUGCACCUCCUGCAGAAGCCUGGCUCUUAACAAUGAGCUGGGACUGCAUGCAGUGAGCCCCAGACAUCCUAUUCUGGGAGCUGCUCACAACAUGCUGGCAGUGGCAUGGUACAGAGGGCACUGGGAGAUUGGGGACAUCAGAACGGUGGCUCUGGUGAGGUUUCAGGAGCUACUCUCCAUGCCCUUGCUGGGGAGCAAUUACCAUCCCUACCAUAUUUUCAAGAUAUUUUCACCUUUAAAAUUUUACUUUAAAAACCAAAAUCUGAGACUUCUUAUUGCAUGCUUCCAGCGGCUGGAGAAUUAAGACAAGCCUUACAAUGUAGCAUGAAGAAAUGGUGAGAGCUGACAACAUAAUAUCACAGUUUGACAAGAAUCAUAGAAUCAUUGAGGUUGGAAAAGACCUCCAAAGUCAUCCAGUCCAACCAUCCAUCUACCACCAAUAUUGCCCACUAAAACCACAUGACACGAAUACUGUAGAAGCAUAGAAUUGUUUGAGUUGGAAGGGACACUUAAAGGUCAUCUUGUCCAUAUCCUGCAUAAGAGGGAGUGAUUCCUCCCAGAAUGUUUGCAAUUCAAGAAAUUUAAUGCUCAGAUCUCAUGUUUUUGUGUCCUCAUGAGAGGAUUUUUAAAGAACAUAUCAGGAUAUUGUGCUCCUGCACUGUUUGUUAAUAGUUUCCUGCCUCCCUUCAGGAAAAAUGAAAUAUUUCUUCUCUGAGCUCUUCGUGCAAUCUUCUGUCAAGUCAAAGCAGAAAGGAAAAACUAUUUACACUAUUUUAUUAGGCCAAAUGUCAAUUUGUUUUUCUGAAAUCUUUACCAAUCUUCCUGGCAUUUAAUAUGCAAACAGAAAUAUAUAUAUAUACACACACAUAUACUAUAUGUAAUAUAAUAGUAUAUUAUAUAAUACUAUACGAUAUUAUAUAUAUGUAUAUAUAAGUAUAUACAUACAUAUAUAUAUAUAUCUUUCAUUUCUUGUGACAGUGCCUGAAAUAUCCAACAGGCUGAUGCACAGAGCAGUAUUUCUUUCAUGUGUAAGAAAGGGAGAGACCAAAUGUGCUAGAGAAGGUGGAUAGCAGCUGGGUAGGAAGGAAAGGCAUGGAAUCACUUUGUUUUUGUGAGUCUUUUUAAUCUGGUUUCAUUAAUCUCUACUGAGCCUGACUAUAGACAGCAUACCUUCCAUUUUACCAGAAUCUUGGUCCUGCCCACAAAAAACAGCCUUUUUCCACAUGGAGAAAAUACUCCAAUUUCUACUCCACUCAGAAAAUCCACCUUGUUUCCAGUUUGGUUCAGCAUUAUUACACCAGGCACAAGGAGCUGCAUCCCAGUGCCUGCCCCUGCCUACCCAGCCCAUGGGGCAAGCUUGGAGCAGCUGGUCCUACUGCUCCGUGCCUGCCCAGGUCAGCCUCUGGUCCACAGGAAAACAUUUCUUAUCUGCCCACUGAGUUUUUCUCUUAAAGAGAGAGGUUUUUUCUCCCAUUUCUGCCUCCCAGGGGCUGUGAAAAGACUCAUAAGCAACACUCCCAGGCAUUUGGUAGAAAGAGAUAUAUUUCAUUCACACAUGAUUUUGACCAGAACAGCUUGUGUAGGGAGAGGCAAUGGCAAAUAACCAGUCCUAAGUCAACCCAAAAAAAGGUGGUGGUCAAAAUCCAGUUAAAGAAAGAAAGAAAGAGUUACUUAUCCACCUCAAGGAUCAGGUCCUGUUCAAUAUUCCAAAGGAAGGGAUCUCCAGGUAGAAAACCUUCCCUUGUGGCAGCCAGCCCUUAAAUGAGGCUUAGAAAAGGGUGGAACCUGUUUUCACCUGUGCUUACAGGACCGGCUGUGUCCCUUCGCCGAGUGCUCAAUCAUUGGUUCAGGCUGUGACUUAGCAAUUCCCAUAUAGCUUUACAGGUAGUCACCCUUAUAUCCACAAUUGCCUAUCAGCAGAUUUGUGCCAUGCUGAGAUUACAUUCAAAGCUCAGAGUAUGAACCACGUAUGAAGUUGCAUUCUAUGAGCUGGAACUCUUGUAUUCCUAGUCCCACUAUUUAUAAGCACUGAAAGAAGCCUGUAUUUUACUUAAAAUAUGAUUCAUCCAAUGGCUCAGUGUGUCAGCAGCCUCUUGUAUUCAGUUUUGGGGCCUCAGCCCUUGUCAGGGAUGUGUCUGUAAAAUAUAAAUCACCAUAUUAGUAGACUUUGGGCAUCACAUAGGUUUUAUUUACAUUUGUGAUGUUCUCAGAAGAGAGGACUCUACCAAAUUCUCCCUUCAGUUUGGAUAUUAGGAAAAACUUCUUCAAAAGAGUCACUGGGCACUGGAAAGGACUGCCCAGGGAGGUGGUGAAGUCACUGUCCCUGGAGGUGAUGUGUAGAUGUGGUACUAAGGGACAUGGUUUAGUGGGCAAUACUGGUGGUAGGUGGAUGAUUGGACUAGGUGGUCUUAGAGAUCUUUUCUAACCUAAAUGAUUCUAUGAUUCUAUAAAUGACCUAUUGGUUGUGGGCUACUGGUAUCAACUGGUCUGAAAGUAAGUUCCUGUUAUCUACAAAUGUAACUACUUUUCCUUUUUCUUAGUCUUUUUGCAUUUGUUAACUUAUCAGAGAGGAAGCAGGAGGUACCUGGCAUUAAGAGACUCACCCAAGGUUGCAGAGUGAGUCAGUCGUGGAGCCCAAAUGAUGUCCUGGAAGUUCCUUUUAUGUAUUUAUUAUUUUCAUCGUAUUCUAUAAUAAAAGUGACUAGGAAGAAGUUUAUGAAUAUUAGCAUUCAUCUGAUGAAUACAAGGCCAAUCGUUCCAUGAAGUGAUGCAGUUGGCUUGAUAACGCUGAAGGAUUCCUAAACCUAUAAAACCCAUGUAUGACCUUCCUCCUGCCUACUGUCUAUUUGAAUGACAGCUGGUGAGAGAUUCCUAGAGACUUUUUCUCUACCAAAAGCUCAGGUGGUGCUCUGCAGCUCCAUCAUGUUAGAUCUUUCCAAACUACUUGGAAAGCACAGGGCAGCAGUGGGAUAUUGCUGCCCAGCCAAAGCCCCUUGGGGCUUCCAUUCCUACAUGUUCUCAGCCUUCUUCCAACUACAGCACUGACUGCUGCUCUGAGUCCAGCAGAAUGGCCUGAUUUUAGAUAUUCUCCUAAGAGUGACCCACAGGACCAACCCUCAUUUGAGAAGGAAGGUUUUCUUGAGUGCUAGAAGCAAUCUACAUCACUGACACCACAAGUAAUUCCUUUGUAGUAUCACAAAAAUGUGUCCAAUAGGCAAGAUGCUCCUUUCCUGGUGCUCUGCUCUCCUGUAAUGGUUUCACGUAACAGUGCAACUUUCAGCAACGAUCAUUUUGCCCAACUCAGAUCUUUUCCAUCUGCUGUGGUCUGUGCAGGGUGCUUUAAUACCUCGACCCUCUUGGCUAUUAGCCCACUGAGGCUGUCUGUUAGGAUAAAAGAAAAAGGUGAGAUUAUAUUCUCCCCUCCUGGCAUCCCAACACACUUCUAUUUUUCUGUAAUAAUCCUGCUUACGGAAGAUGGAUUUCUAAGGAGAUGUUGUAUGUUAGACAUGGCCAAAAAAAAUUAGCUAUAGGCAAAAAACUGCCCUGAAGAAGAAAAGUAUUGCUUUUAUUGAACUUAAAACCAAACACCCUACUUUGAUCUACUUGUUUUUGAAAAGAAAAGAAAUUCAGUUUGGGGGAAAAAAAAAAAACCACCAAAAAACAGCAGUUUCAGCUCAAAUAUUCUUGUUUUCGGCUAAAAAAUUUCUAGAUUCAACCAGAAUAGAGGUAUAUAUUUUUAACAGAUCGUCAAUGAAAUCUCCUGUAUAUGGAUAAGUAAUAAAAGGAUGGCACACGGCCCAAACAGUGUGCAAUCUAAGUGAUAUUUAGGCAUACUUCAAGCCUCAGCUACCACAGAAAUCGAUUUAUGCUCCCUUUUAUCUUUUUUAUUGUAGUUUAUUUCUUAUGUCUUCGGCCCACAGCUAAAGGAUUAUUGCAGAUGGCUCAGGGCAGGGGAAGGAAAGGUGAGGCUCACUGGGCUCUGGCUGUCUCCAUCUAAGAUGAGUUCUUAUGGGAUGCCCCAGUUCCAGAUCAAACUCCAACGGCAGAGGAUGGGACCUCCCGAUCCCAAGGCUGGCACACUGGGAUGUGGUUUUCCUUCUGCCUUCUGCACAGGCGCUGGGCUUGGAUGCACGUUCAGGACAUAAACUUCCCCAGGACCUGGAAACAUGAGUGUGCUGUGUCUGGGUCGGGCCUCUCUCUGUUAAAAACCCACUGUCAUUGCCUUCUGGUAAAUGGUGAUCAACGCAUGUUUUACAAACCACAGGGAACCGCGCAGUUAUCCAGCGCCUUUCACCAGCGGCUCUCAAAGUACCGCACAAACAAAUAACCAAGUUUUACAAUAACUUUAUAUUGCAGCUUUUCUAGACAGUGGGAAGCUGACAUCAAAGGGGCUUCCCACCACUGUACAGCAAAACUGCGCAAACUUAGGGGCACAACACAGGAAUCCCGAUUCCAGCUCUGAUUUCAUCUCGCAGGCAAGAUUUGUUAUUUCUCCACUUCCUUCUGGCAAUUGGCCCAAGGUUCCUAUCGCUGCUGGCCAGAGAUAGGAACAAUCAUUCACACCGGCGUACUUUUUAUUCUCUUUAAAAGGAGCACAUAAAAUGAAUCAACUUGAGAGAGCGGAAGAGAUGCAUAGGGAACAAGGGGAGCUCUUUACAAAGUGGCUGGUCGAACACACACCAAAAUCAGCAGAUGUAGCAGGGCAGGGGGAGCAAAGGAAAGCCCUUUCGCUGCUUUUUGGGUGCUGCCCUGAAUUUCUGCCCUGCCGUGGUUGGUUGAGGUCCCAGGCUAAAUAAUUAUCAACAACUCCUAUUAAUGAAUAGCACCAGAAGCCCUAGUGAAAAAUCUCAGGUCCCUUACUCACAAUUCUAGUCACUUCCCCAACCUACUUCUAAAAUUAGAAACAAACAGGCCCCUUCUAAAAGCAAUAAACAGCACUUUAAUUGGACUGAAGCCUAUAAAUCUGUCAGCAGCUAGUUACUCCAACUCCAUUGUGAGACCAGCGCCUUUGAAGCCCCUCCCUUGCCUUCCACUGCUGUGCACUGGGAUGCAGUGUGAUGGGGCUGUGAGGUGUAGGGCUGGGGGAUUGCUCCGGCUCAGAUGGACAUCAUGAUAGAGCAGGAGGAGAAGCUCAGGCUGCAGAUGGCUGCUGCAUGUGGUCUGUGAGCACAGCAGCAGAAUCAUAGAGUCAUAGAAUAUCCCAAGUUGGAAGAGACCCAUAAGGAUCAUCGAGUCUAACUGCUGACAUGAGGUGAUGUACUGCACUUAGAAGAUACAUCUCACAUCAGGGCCGUGGGAAAUGCAUAUUAAAAUGCAUUUUGCUUAGCUAAAACUACAUUUUCUUAUUUUUUAUUAUUUUUUUUGUCACCAAAGAUUGCUUUAAAGAAAAUCCCACCUGGUUUGAAAUGAUGCCACAUGUUAGUGUCAUAAUGCAGCAGAACCCAGCAAAUGGGUACUAAUCAGUCCAGUUUCCCUUAGAAAGAGGCUGUGUAAAGGGAAAAUAAAUUCAACAGCUGCUAUUUCAGACGUUUCAGCUGUUUCGAAGGGGAAAAGGGAUGGCAGCCUUGUAGCAAAGGGCACUAUCUGCAACUUCAGGAUUUUCUCCAGUUUGGUGCAAACUGACCUGAUUCCUAACAGGGAAUGUGUGAUGUGCAGAGACAUGUCCCAGUUGAGCCACUGAAGUACCUCUGUGUUCAGAUGGUCUGCUGGGCCACACAUGGCCUUCAUGUGUCAUCCAGCAGAAGCGAAACCGCACCAGAGACAAAAGCAGACAGUGGAGAGUGGGGAUAGGACACACAGGUGAGCAUGUUCCUUCCUGCCCCUCCAGUGAGAUUGGGUUCAGGGCAAGAAAUAAAACUGCUCUCUUUAAAAAAGUGCUCAGGAAGAGGGGAAAAAAAGAGAUAUUUUUAGUACUACCUCAAGAACAAAUAAUGAAAACUUGCACAGAGGUGUUAUUGAGUAAAAGAUACAGGAAGAUCACAUUGCAAGAAUAAGAUGAGGUGGCACACAGGCAUCUUAUAGGCAGAGUUCCUGAAACUGUGAGAAUGAUCAUAGAAUCAUAGAAUUGCUUGAGCUGGAAGUAGGAUUUAAAGGCCGCCUGGUCCAACUCUCUUGCUAUGGAUACCUACAGCUCAAUCAGGUGCUCAGUGCCCUGUCCAGAUGGACUCUGAAUGUCUCCAGGGAUGGGGCAUCCACCACCUGUCUGGAAAACCUGUGCCGGUGCUUCACUGCUCUUAUUGUAAAAAAUAUAUAUAUAUAUAUCCAACCUAAACCUCCUCUUUUUUAGUUUGAAACCAUUUCCCUUUUCCUAUCACAACAGACCCCGCUAAAGAGUCUGUCCCCCUCUUUCUUGUAGCCCACCUUUAGAUACUGACAGGUUGCCCUUAGGUCUCUUCAGAGCCUUCUCUUCUCCAGACUGAACAGCCCCAGCUCUCUCAGCUUGUCCUUGUAGGGAGGUGUUCCAUCCCUUGGGUCAUUUCUGUGGCACUCUUCUGGACCUGUGUGUCCUUCUUGUCCUGUUUCCUCUCCGUUUGGCUCCAUGAGGACCUGAGAGGUUUCUUGCCCUCAGUAGCAGAGGACAUUGCUCCAUGCAGUGUGAGCAUUCACAUAAACAGAAGAACGUGAGAGCAAAUAAGAACUGACACAGCACGAACUGCCCAGUGCCACCUAGCCUUCCCCAAAUAAAUGCCAAGAAACAACAUUACAUACACAUUAGAAAUAUAUAUAUCUAUAUAUGCACAUGUACUCACUAAGUGCAUGUAAUGCUCUCUCUCAUAAGAAAAUGCUGGCAGCCUUUCAGCAAGCCGUCCUCAGCUGCUAAUAAGAAGCACAUCCUGCUUUCUGGAGGUGUGUGGCACUGUGAAUACAUUCAAGCCAUUCCUGUGGAGGGAUUGCUCUUAAAAUCCUUCAGAUGCCUUUGUACCUGGAUAAAACAUUAACACAAACUUCACACACUGAGUGUGGGGCAGAGUGGCAAAUCCCACCUCAGUAACAGCUGUGGUGGUGUCACCUCUAGAAAUCAGGAACUUAAAAGCCAAAGUUUGGCUUGAGUAAUCUUGAGUUUUAAAAAUAGAUCGUGCAUUCAAGGUGCUGUGAAAGCAAGUGUUUUAAUCUGAAAUACCUUGGUCUAGGGCUGUCACACUGUGAGAUGGGACCGCAUUCCUGUGCAGCCUCCCAGAGCUGCUCCCAGAGCUGCAGCCGUGCUUCAGAAAGAAAAAUAGUACUACAUUUUAGCAGUGUACCUGUGAGAACAGCUGACCCUCUGGACCAUUAAGAUAACCCCGCAUUUCUAAACAAAAGGGGUUUUUAGUUUUUCUGUUCCUAUGAAAACACACUGGAACAUUUCACCACAGUCUUCUUUCACUUUAAUUAGCCAGGAAAGACAAGGAAUGCCAAAGGGCAAUUAUAGAAAAUAUAUACUGUACUGAUUAGGAAUCUCCUUUCUGUAGCAUGAAGACAUCAGCUUGAAGUUCACAUUAAACCCCUCUCCCCCUCUAACGAGAUAUGCCUUAUCCAACCCAGAAAGAUACAAUUAACUUGGGAAAGAAUGCAGCCUUUCUCAGGGGGAAAAAUGAUUGGGGAGGGGAGGAAGAACUCAUGUUAGAAGGUGAAGGGCUGAUCUUGAAGGCUCUGGUCACAUCAUGGCCUAUGGGGAUCAGCGCGUGUGGAAUCCAACCUGAGGGCUGCUCUCUCCCUGGCAAUGGCGACGUUGUCGUUUUGCUUUUUUUCUCGUAACAUUUGCUAUUGUUUUAGGGGCACUGUGCCUCCCAGGACCCUCCUCAGCCUGGAGCAAGGUCAGGGGGACAGGCCCGCUCCCCAAAUGGGAUACAGCAGGGCAGAUGUGGGCUGCAGGAGGCACAGGCCAGAGGCAACGCGGAGCAGCCAUUGCCAUUGUUCUGCAGGGCCUUGUUCACAAUCUCUGCACGGUUGGGCUGUGGGAGCAGCUGGGAGCAAUUACGGCACAUGAAAAGAAGGGCACGGGAUUAGGCAAGUGAUGAAAAAGCGAGGGGACCGCUAGAUUUAUCACUGGCAGAGCAAGGCAGCCCCUCUCCAGAGCCGGCCCUAUCCCAUGUCCCUAUCUUUGUUCCUGUCCCCUGGGCAGGAGUGACAGUGCCAGGAGCUGCAGGAGAGGAUCCAGUUGUGAGGAUUGGCCCUGAGGUGGUGAGGAUCAGUCUCCCUUUGGGUCCCACCAAGAGGACAGGGUGAAGUCCAUGGGCAGAUUUCAAUCUCAUCCUCUCUUUAUAUGGGCAAAAAAUAAAGUAAAAAAUAAGCAGAUGAGGCACAAGUUUUGCAUUCCUUGUGAAAUUUCUUCAGCUCUUCCAUAUAAUCAGCAUUGUAAAAUAGCAAAAACAAAACAAAACAGAACAAAAAAACCAAAAAUCCCUCGUAGCUUUCUUUUUUGCGAGGACUGAGGAGUACAAGAAAGGUUACUCAGAAGGUAAAGCAUGUGUUUGCCAUCUUAGCUCCUGAUAUGGAAACCAUAUGCUUAAAUACACCACCAAACAUACUCAAUAUAACACUCUUUUUUAUUAAAGGUGGUUUUAUAAAAGCUAUCCACCUUCCAUCCACCAGUGACUCCCAAAGAGGUCACAUAUUCCUCAUUGCAACUAUCAAUAUGUAUUUGGGGUAAAUUAAACUCCAAAUAGACUGUUUCUGAUUAUUACUGCAAAGGGAGCAAGAGGCCAUCUUAUUUUCCCUCACUGAUAAAUUAAAAGAACUGUAAUGGGUGAUUUCUGCAACCUGUAAAAGGGCAAAACCAUCUGUAACUCAUUUAGUGUCGCUUUAAAGAAAAUUUAUUUGAUUAAUUUGGGUAGAGUAUAGAAAGAAUAUAGAUUUAAGAAAUAGUAAUAAUAAAGCCCUCUACUGCUCAAGAGGAAGAAGGGAAGAAGCAGCAGCAGAAGAAAACUCCGACCCAAAAUAAACAUUUGAGGGAAUUAAAACAUGCUUCAUAUGCUAUUAGAAAUAUUCCUUAUACAGGCUGCUGCCUUGAUCUUGAGAGAGCUGAUUUUUGCCCUGCCAACAAGAAGACCUUGCCACGACAUGGCUCUAAGAGCACCCAUGUCACAGAACUUCUUGUCAAAUAAACUGUUGUUAAAUGCAGCACCUGAUAGAUAAAGAGAUAAAAACGAGUAGGGAGAAAGAAGAGGGAGAAAGGCUGGCAACUGUCCAUCCUUCAAAGCAGAGUUGAUGGUAGUGACCCAAACUUCACCACCUUUGUCUGGCCUGACAAGCAGGAAGUGGAGAAAAGAUCAAAAGAAAGUGGAAAUCAAAAGGAUUAAUACAUUGAAAUUCUUCUGUUUUGCCACAGGCUGUCACCCUAGCUCCACACAUGGCUCAGCCAGCCAGGCGUGCUCCAUGCAAAGCAAGGGGAGAGAAAUAGCUAUAGAAGCUCAGAAGUUUUCUCCUCCUGAAAUUUCAUUGGCCUGCAGGUUACCCGCAAUCCCUACUCCCCUGCUGACAAUUUGGAGAGCAAUAUUAAAUAGUAACGAUAAUAAAUACUAAUAGGUUAAUCUCCGUAAGUCAUGCCAAAUUCUAUGGGGCCAGGGUUUGGCAAAAGCGGUCUGCCUCAGAUGUGGAGUAUCUAAUGACAUCUUUACUGUUGCAGGGUGUGCAUGUGGCAGGCGGAGAUGUCAUUUGCACUCUGACACAGGCUAAGUCACUUACAGCUAUGGAUCUCAUCAGAGGCUUGCACUGGGCCCUGGCCAAACCUUGCUUAAAUCAAAGGGCGGGUUUGCCUUAUUGUCUCUGGGCUGCUUUUCACUCACCCUGGGAGGAGGCAGGAGGCAGGCAGAGCUCCAGCCCUCUCAGCCAAUAAGUCUGGGUCUGAUGUGCUGAAACCGUGAAGGAUCUUUUCUUUGGCUUCAGUGAGCCGUAUACCUGGGCAAACCUAGUGCUCCGUGUGGUUAUUUGUUCUUGAUGACCUCAUAUCGUCCCUUUUUCCUCUCUUCUGGGUUAUCUUAAAGUCCCCAUUUUGUUUUUCAGAGGUUGGAGUUAAAGACAUCUGCUCAGAAAUCCAUAGGGAGACAUGUUACGGUGUUCAGCCCCUCUGCAAUCAAUGGACGUGAUAUGCCUACACUGCUCCGAGGCUUUAGGACCGGUGGAGAUGGGUACCUGCAAGGAUCUGGAUCUCCCUUAGAAGCUGUGACUCAUCCAACUGCAUUCACUCCCCAAUAGCACCAGCACGGGCGCGAUCCCACGGGAAGCUCUCCAUCACCCCAGGACUGACACACUACUUACCACAUGCCUCAUCUCCCUCUGCUGAGCUCCUCAUGAGUCAGUUGGACUGCAUCCCUACAGUCACAUGGCUCGCUCCACUUUGAAGAUCUUGGAUAAAAUCACCCUUUCCAGGACAAGGAAACUUCUGGUUUCGUAGCUUGCAGCAGAAAGCACAGAUGGACCUUCACACUGUAAAUGGGAAGAGAGGAAAAAGUACUAAUCUUUUCAGGGCAUUUUGGAAACAAAGCAGUAAGAAUUUCUGGAAAGCAAUAAUGCAGCAUUUGCAAUACUGGGGAAAUGACAGAAAACUGGGGAAUACUCAUCCAGAUAUUUUAUUGCUAAAAAUUUGUUACAAUAUUUCUCAUGAAAUAUGUUGAUUUUCUUAAUUAAGCAGUAGCUGAAGUGUAGGUGCAGCCACCCUCACCCUGCUAAGGUCAGAUCUUCUCCAUACAUUUCAGACUUUGCCGUGAUUUAUGCAAAGAAAGAUCCAGUGAUCCCAUGGUGCCCUUCAGCUCCUUUUGCCACAGAGGAAUGUCAGCUUCAGGCCUGAAAAUGCUCGAAGCAUUCAGAUAUGUUUUUGAUAUGCAGACUGUUCAGCUUCAUUUUUUUUCUCACGUUGUCUCCUUAUUCUGAGUUGGGCACUUCUUGCCAAGCAACAAAAGGAAUUCCGUUUGACAUUAGGGUAAAUGGCCUUCAUCUGGGUACUACAUAAUGUUGACUGUGUGUGGUAUCAUGAAGGCUCCUGGCUGAGCAGCAAAGACCUGUGAGAUAAUGCUGGUGCGAGUUUGUGCUAUGGCAUCACACAGGGAAACCUCCUGGCUUGUUUUUACAAGUACCUCUCCAGCAGAAGAUUAUUGAUCUCUGAAUCAACACAGUGACACGGUCGGGAAAUUGCCCUUCCUCUUCUCUCCCUCUUCAUUUCUGUUCCUUUAUUCUAUUUUCUCCUAAGAGAGCUUUUAGUCAGAUAUCCCACAUGCACACUCAUCACUUGGAUGGCUUUAAGCACAAUACAUGGGCAAGUCUGGGCGCUGCAAUUAAUAUUUCUUGUUGUUGUCUCUCUGUAGAUUAUCCUCUGUUGCUGUAAUUCGCAGCUUCAGACGUUUGUGUACAUGCUUUCCUUGUGAAAAUGCAAUAUCAUUACUAAUUAAACAGGCUUUUAGUAAGUUGGCUGAUAGCUCCCCACAGCAUCUAGGAAUUAACCUCACCUGGGAGCAAGAUGCUGGUUGAGGCUGAAGUGAAGCUUGAAUAUAGGCGGGAAAAGGAAAAGACAUCAAAGAACUCGUCACCACCAAAACCUCAUCCUCCACAAAUUCUAGGUGUGGAAAUGUUUCUCAGCCAUGGGGAUCCUCCCUCCACGGAUUUCCAAAUAGCUAUAAUCAUCAGAAUUCUCUCAUUCACCUCCCCCUGGACCGAUUAGCUCAUCCUUCUCAUUUGAACUUGUUUGCUACGAGCAAUACAUUUGUGGCCUCCACACUUUAUUAUCUUGAUCCCCAAAAUGCUUGAUUAGUUUCAGAUGGUGAUAAUUUAACAAUGCAAGGCUUGGGGACAGUGUUUUCCUGGUGGUCUGCUUUCACCAUCAAACAAGGUCCAAAAGCUCCUCGGGGUUUGUUUCACAUAUCCAGCUCCCUUGGAGGCCAUGGGUCAGUGCAGAAUUUUCUUAGUAGCUGACCAGUGCUUGGAAUUCAUGCUGGCUUUGGGAAUUUAGUGUUCAGCAGUCUCCGGUUAUUUUUCCCACAACUAAGAACACUUCUUAGCAGAAGGCACGGAAUGAACAAAGAAAUCACAAUCCAAAUUAGACCCUCUCUUGAGGAGACUUACGUCGAAAUCCAGAUACCAAGAUCACUAAUCCUCCUGGCCAUAACUUACAGGAUGUUGACAGGGCAUAUAUUCCGUGAUAUAGUAUAGAUAUACAGCUGAGAUAAGGCAAUGAUUUAAUUCUGUAGCAGACGAGACAUUUCAAGGGCUAUGGAGGGAGUGCAGCUCUCCCUGAACGUAUGACUCCUGAGUACUGUUAGCACACCUUGAGCCUUUAUGCUUGCUCCUUUUUUCUUCUUCUUCCUAUUUUUUUUUUUAUCUACACUUGUUAAUAAUAUGUUUGGAAACUUAUUAAGCUUACAAAUCAAGACUCGGGGUUAAAGGCAACCUUAUCUAAAUAUCUUAACACUUAUAAAAAGAUUAUCGUUAAAUAUCUUGUAGAGAAAUUCUGAACCCGUGUUGAAUCAGGAAAAAAAAAAAAAAAAGAAGGCAGAAGAAAUGGCUAAUGUGUCUACUUUUUAAUUAAAUGUAAAUAUAAUUUGCAAGGCUUAUGGGUUUUAAACAGAGAAAAUUUACUCUGCAUAAUUUCCUUUCUGGUUAACCUUAUAGACAGAAGUGUAAGGAGGGUUAUUCAGAAGGAUUUUGUAGCUAUUAAGCCAGUUACCUCCUCUGGAUCCUUUGCAGCAGAUGACUUCAGUGCAUUCAAGAUUUAACCUGAGGUUCCUAAUUUACAAUGACAACGUAGAGAUUUUAAGCAUUAAAAUGAGCAUUGUUAAAUGCCCCUGGUUUACAGCUUGUUUGGGAUGUCAGCAGAUUUUUCAUCUUUAUUACUGCAGACAGAUAGCAAGGCUCUUAUCUGCACAUACCUCAUCGGAAUGGCUCAAACACACAAAAGUGAAUUCUUGGUUAUUUUAAUGUGACAAGUAAAUAUAAACCAGUUACAAAUACAAAGGCAGGAUAAAUAUGCCUGACAAUACAGCAACGGCUAAAUUACUGCCAGCUUGGUAUUAAAAGUUCUGCGGUGGUUUCUGGUUCAAAGAGUCCCAUAAAAAUCAGAGUUAAUUUAAAACUUAGCCAUCCAUGGGAAUAUUUCUCAUUCACACAAUACAGGCUUCUCUUGUACAGGUCUGUUUAUAUCUUUCAGCAACUGAACAGUUUUCUGUUUCAGUUUAGGCAAGUAUUCUUAUUUAGUCCAGAAAAAUAAUUAAGCGCAUGCUUAGCUGUACGCUUUACUUAGGCACGUGCCCAUAGCUUGUCAUUUCACCUGCUGUAACAUUUGGAGCCAGUUAAUUCAUUAUUUGAAUCACACACACACACAAAAAGAAGAAAGAAAAAGAAACAAUAACAAACAAACAAACCACAGGUAUUUAAUUUCUAACAAGACUGUGACGCCUGGUUAUGAUAUACCCAGUAUUGCUAAAUAAAAA
rnacentral:lncRNA from 1 species